UAAUAAAAAUUUAAUUGUAAUUAUGUAAUAAAAGAUUUUAUAAUAUGUAAUUAGAAUAAAUUAUGUUGAUAACUAUAGUGAAUAUUACUGUGAGGUAAUUUAUAUAAAUUAUUUAUUAUUAAGCAAUAAGUUUGUACCUUUUGUAUUAGGGUUGAUUAAUAAUAUUUAUAAAUAUAAAUUUCCCGAAUAGCUAUGAGCUAUUUAUUUAGUUAUAAGUUAAAUGUUGUAUAAUUUAAUUUUAUUAUUUAUAGUAGUGAGAUGCUAAUCAUAUAGCUUGAUAUCUGGUUAAAUUAGUAGAACUUAAUGUUCAUAUAUGAUAUAUUCUUUUGUAAGGUGUCAUGUAUUUUAUAUAAAGGGAUAAGCUUUUAUAUAACAUAUAAAAUAUAGGAAUUUAUGUAGAAGGUUUAAAAUUUACUUUAUUUGUUAUAAAAUAAUUUAUUAUUAUAUUGAAAGUUAUGUAAGGAUUAAUUUAUAUAAUGAAUAGUUAAAUGUAAUUAUGAUUAAAUUAGUAUAAGUUUAAUUUAUUAAACAUCAAUUAAUAUUGAAAAAUAUAGAAAUAUAAUUAUUAUGAAUUAGGCAAAUAAUUUAGCUGACUGUUUAACAAAAACAUUUUAUUUUGUGUUAGUAAAAUAUAAUUUCUGCUCAAUGAUAAUUAGUUAAAUUGCUGUAGUAUUUUGACUAUACAAAGGUAGUGAAAUAAGAUUUUAAUUGAAUGCUAAGUGAAUGAUUUAACAGUUAUAUUCUUUAUUGUAAUUAUAAAUAAAAGUUGAUUUAAAAAUGAAAAAGUUUUUAUGAUUUAUUGGGACAAGAAGACCCUAUGAAUUUUUAUGUUAUUUAUUUAUAUAUUUUUAUUAAAAUUAAUAAUAUUUGAAUGAUGUUUGGUUGGGGUGAUUUAUAAAGUUUGAGGAACUUUAUGAUAUUUAUAGAUGAAGAUCCAUUAUUAGUGAUUAAUAGGAAUAAAUACUCUAGGGUUAACAGCGUAAUUAUUUUGGAUAGUUCAUAUUGAUAUGAUAGUUUGCGACCUCGAUGUUGGAUUAAGAUUACUUAAUGAUGAAGAAGUCAUUUUAGUGAGUUUGCUCAACUUAUUAAUUCUUACAUGAUCUGAGUUCAGACCGGCGUGAGCCAGGUUGGUUUCUAUCUAAUUAUUUAAUUAUAAUAUUAUAGUACGAAAGGAAUUAAUAUAAUGAAGUUUUUAUUAAAAAAUAUGAAGCUUUAAGUUAA
rnacentral:rRNA from 1 species